rnacentral:rRNA from 1 species
GACGAACGCUGGCGGCGUGCUUAACACAUGCAAGUCGAACGGUGAAGCGCCUUCCUUUUUGGUGGGUGUGGAUGAGUGGCGAACGGGUGAGUAACACGUGAGUAACCUGCCCCCUUCUUCUGGAUAACCGCAUGAAAGUGUGGCUAAUACGGGAUAUUCUGGGUCUGUCGCAUGAUGGGUCUGGGAAAGAUAUUGUUUCGGUGGGGGAGGGGCUCCCGGCCUAUCGGCUUGUUGGGGGGGUGAUGGCCUACCAAGGCGGUGACGGGUAGCCGGCUUGAGAGGGUGGACGGUCACACUGGGACUGAGACACGGCCCAGACUCCUACGGAAGGCAGCAGUGGGGAAUAUUGCACAAUGGGCGCAAGCCUGAUGCAGCGACGCCGCGUGAGGGAUGGAGGCCUUCGGGUUGUGAACCUCUUUCGCCAGUGAAGCAGGCCUGCCUCGUUUGUGGGUGGGUUGACGGUAGCUGGAUAAGAAGCGCCGGCUAACUACGUG